UACGGAGGGGGCUAGCGUUGUUCGGAAUUACUGGGCGUAAAGCGCACGUAGGCGGCUUUGUAAGUUAGAGGUGAAAGCCCAGGGCUCAACCCUGGAAUUGCCUUUAAGACUGCAUCGCUUGAAUUGUGGAGAGGUAAGUGGAAUUCCGAGUGUAGAGGUGAAAUUCGUAGAUAUUCGGAAGAACACCAGUGGCGAAGGCGACCUACUGGACACAUAUUGACGCUGAGGUGCGAAAGCGUGGGGAGCAAACAGG
rnacentral:rRNA from 1 species